rfam:Camelus ferus unplaced genomic scaffold scaffold1279, whole genome shotgun sequence.
GAGUGUGUAGCUCAGUGGUAGAGUGCAUGCUAAGCACGCACAAGGUCCUGGGUUCAAUCCCCAGUACCUUCA